AAAGAAAUUAGAAUCUAGUGGUAGUUCAGACAAGGACUUGGAUUUAGAUUCUGAUGAACCAGCAAAAUCUACUAUUCCUGCUAAGAGGCCUCUGACAACAGAGAAAAAGAGUGAACAUUAUUUGCAGUCCAAGGAUGAUUCUGAUGAUAGUUCUGAUGAGAGUGAUGAAGAGCGUGCACUAAAGAAGCCUAAGGAUUCAUCUUCCAAGAAAGAAAGUUAUGGUGAUGAUGACAGUUCUGAAGAAGCUCCCGCCGUGAUGAUGAAAAUGAUCAAUCGGUGUCAAUGGCAAAGUCCAAGCAGAAUGAAGAACGAAGAUCUGAAUCACCAUCACCCCUCUAGAGAAAUCAGUUUACUCAUUCAAGUUCUGGAAAUUCUUUAUAGCUUUCUGAGUUUACUUUGUCUUGCAUGUGUUAGCUUUCUGUUUGUGCCCCUUUCUAUGUCUGUUUCUUGUGUGCAAGCGCUCCAUUCUCUGUGUGUGACUGUGUGUCUUUUUUGCGUGUGUUGCUUGACUCUGUGUGUGUGUGGCUUGACUGUGUGUGACUUGAGGGCGAAUAUGUGUGUGGCUUGACUGUGUGUGUGUGCUUGACUCUCUGUGUGUGACUCUCUGUGUGUGUGUGUGUGUGUGACUGUGUGAAUAUUGCAUUUGCUUGAUGGUGUGGUUUGUAUGCUUUGUUGAAUGAUUGGUUGUGUAUAACUUGUGUUUUAUAUUGUUCUUAUCUUCCUGUUUGUGCCCCUUUCUAUGUCUGUUUCUUGUGUGCAAGCGCUCCAUUCUGUGUGUGUGACUGUCUGACUUUUUUGCGUGUGUUGCUUGACAAUGUGUGUGUGUGUGGCUUGACUGUGUGUGACUUGAGGGUGAAUAUGUGUGUGGCUUGACUGUGUGUGUGUGCUUGACUCUCUGUGUGUGACUCUGUGUGUGUGUGUGUGUGUUUGACUGUGUGAGUAUUGCAUUUGCCUGAUGGUGUGGUUUGUAUGCUUUUUUGAAUGAUUGGUUGUGUAUAACAUGUGUUUUAUAUUGUUGCGGCCUAACACUGCCUUUGCCGGUCCCAAGCUCGGGUGUGAAAAUGUGGAGGGAGCUGCAGUUACCUUCUUUGUAUUGUUUGCAUUACGAGUGUCGAUAGAAAUUACACAGUUUAGGUUACUGUCCUAAUCGAAUAGUGAAUCUUCACAUAAUUUGGUAGCAAGUGAUUCAAGCUUUAAAAUGCAUCCUUCCUUGCUAGUUGUACGAGGUCAGUGUUUUUCUUAUACGAUACCAAAGGAAAGCGAGUAGCUAAGAAUUUAGGCCUAUAAGGGUUUGAUAUAUUUUUUUUACUUCUGUGCAUGAUUUUUUAGGUGGAGAGGUCUGCACGUACAAGACGUUUUGGAUGUUUUGGAGUCCACCGCUUUGACUGUCUCCUGAUGCUCUGACUAUUUCCAUCUUAGGUGACGUGUGCUUUCUGUUUUUGAUUGUGUCUCCUUGUUUGCCACAUAUCAGUUUUGUAUGUCGGAUUGUUUGGGCCGAUUUUUCUGGGCUCUUCUCAUGGUACGAGUGGUCCUUUCUUUUUUCUUCUACUGCCUAUAAAUAAGCUAUUCUGGAGGCCUUAUUUCUCGGUUUCUAGAUUCUUUGCUUUGGGUUCGUGAUAAGGGUUCUUGCAGUUUCGUGUGCUGAUCGGCUGCCUUCUUCAGUUCGUGCUUCUGGUCGAUCUGUUCCAAGUCGCUCCGAAUAUAUUCCUGGUGCUACUUCUGGCGGUGGAUCUUCUAGUCGAUCUGUUCUAAGUGCCGCUCAAUAUCCUGUUUUGGAUCCUAAUGAAGCGCACCGGUGUCGGCAUGAGAUUCGAUGCGGGAAGCAUCCUAUUUAUUUAUACAACCACGGUCCAUUGGCUGGAGUCGAGGAAAUUCUCAAGCAUAAAACGACAUCUUCUUACUCAACAUAAUUUUAAAGAAGUUGACAGGAUGAAGUCGAAGCGGCACGGAUGGCAGCAAUCAACAAGGAAAUUAAACGUGUGUUGACAGAAGUUCUUUUGAAGGUUUCUGAUGAUCUUUUUAAUGAGAUCACGGCCAAAGUUAUGAAUGAAGAUGAUUCAUCAGCUGAACCAAAUGAGACCACUGGUGUCUCUAGCUCAAAGGAGCUUGGUCUAGGAGAAUCAGAAGUCAAGACCACAACUGUAUUGGUCGUUCUGAUGAUACUGGGCUAAGUUCUCCUAAAGGUGCUUUCUUGGUCAUGCUAAUUAUGAUUCAGAUGAUGAUGAUGGUAAGGGUUUAAUUCCAAAUUUAUCAUCUGAAAUUAAAGUUGGUGCAGCUCAUCCUAAAGAAAGUAAGUUCUUGAAAAACACAAAGUGGACAUGGUUUCCCAAAAUUUAUUUUCUAAAGAAGGAAGAGCUAAUUAUUAACUUUCUGAGUUUACUUCGGUCUUGCAUGUACUAGCUUUCUGUUUUUGCCCCUAUCUAUGUCUGUUUCUUUCCAUUUCUUGUGUGCACGUGCUCCAUUGUGUUUGUGUGUGUCUGACUGUGUGUGUGAUGUGCCCCUAACUCUGUUUCUGUCUGUUUCUUGUGUUCAAGUGCUACAUUGUGUGUGUGAUGUGCCCCUAUCUAUGCAUGUUUCUUGGGUGCAAGCGCUUGAUUGAG